CCCGGUUCCCUGGUUCGUGCCAUGACUCUUGGGUGUGGCAGCGUAACCCACUGCGUGCACGCCUAGCCGCACAACUGCAGCCUGGCGAGUAUCUGCUUGGAGACUCAGGAUAUCCUCUCGAGCCAUGGCUGCUUCUUCCGGUACCUGGCAGCCAUGCCGGCACCACCUCUGAAGGCCACUACAACCAGGAGCACGCAUCCAUGCGCAUUGUUGUGGAGAGAUGUAUCGGGGUGUUGAAAAGCAAGUUCCGCUGCUUGCAGUGCUUUCGGACACUGCUAUACAGCCCCGAUAGAGCAGCGCGAAUCAUUUAUGCAUGCGUUGCUCUCCAUAACAUUGCCUUGGAGGCGGGCGACUGGACAUUGGACGAUUAUGGUGGGGAAGUGCCACCAGCUGAGGAGCCAGAGGAGCCAGGAGACAUCCAGGUGCUGGCACCACACGACGUGUUCCUCAGAGGAAGGCAGCAGCGCAGCGCCGUUGUCAUCCUUUUCUGAAGGACACAGGAAUGGUGCUCAGCGAUGUCCUGCGCUAUGGCGCGCACCUGUUCCAGGAUCCCCUCCUGGGCUGCUGCC
rnacentral:lncRNA from 1 species